AAAUAUUUCUUCUUUAUUGUUAGUCACUGUUACAAUAGUAAUAGGGAACCCAAAGAGCCAUGCAUUUUGAGAGAAAAACAACAAAAAAGUAUAUUUCUUAGUUUAAUUGAAGACUGUUCCUGUGUGGCGUUAUAACAGCUUGUUAAAAUAAGACAUUGCAUGACCCCAUUGCCAGCCACCUUCCCUUGUUUAAGUUACCUAUCCUGCCUGUUAAGGCAUCACAGUAUGUGAAUCUUGCCAUAAAUCAUGUUUGGCUCUCAUAACCCUGUGUGAUCUCACUGACUAGCUCGUAACCUGAGAGUGCUAAGUAGUUCUCAGGACCAACUAUGCCAAGGUCAACACGGGAAUGCCCAAUAUGAUUGGGAUGUGUCAUAGUGAAAGCGGACCAUCAUAGUUGAUAGCAACUUUAAGAAAAUGUCACUACAGAAGUUAGUUGUUUUUAUUACCAAGACAAAUGUCAGAGUAGCUGAUCCUGAAAUGAUGAGUUCAUGUUUUAUUAAAAGUGAUGUUUUUCUGAACAUACAUGUCCUUGAAAUCUGCAGCUCCUAGAUGCCACUGAAAUUUAAAUAAUUGAGUCAAGCCGCUCAUUAAGCACUAGGUAUUUUCUAAAUGAUCAUUAAAAUUAAAAAAAAUUAAUUGUGGUAAAAUACACCUAAAAUAAAACUUACCAUUUCAUCAUUUUUAAGUGUACAGUUUGGUAGUAUUAAGUACAUUCACAUUGUUGUGUGAGCAUCACCGUCAUUAAUCUCUAGGGCUCUUCUUGCAAAAUGAAACACUAUACCUAUUAAACAGCAACCCCAUACAAUUCUCUACUGCAUACGGUCACUGACAGCCAACUUUCUACUUUCUGUCUGUAUGAUUCUGAUGACUCUAGCUACCUCAUACAUGUGUAAUCAUUCAGUGUUUGUCUUUUUGUGACUGAUUUAUUUCAUUUAGUACAAUGUCUUUAAGUUUCCCUCAUAUUCCAACUUGUGUCAAAAUUCUUUUCCUUUUUAAGGCUGAUGAAUAUUCCACCGUGUGUGUGUGUAUACACACACACACACACACACACACACACCAUAAUUGUUUAUCCAUUCAUUGACUGUGUGACACCUGGGGGUCCUUCCAUCUUUUGGCUAUCGUAAACAAUGCUAUUAUGAACAUGGGUGCACAAUUAUCUCUUUGAGACUCUGCAUUUCAUUUUUUUAAAAUAUAUCCCCAGAAGUGAAAUUUGUGGUUCAUAGAGUAAUUCUGUUGUUCAUUUUUUUAGAUAUUUCCAUUCCAUUUUUUCACAGUGGCUGCACCCUUUUAAUUUCCUACCAACAGUAGAGUUUCCCAUCCCUCUGCAUCCUCUCUAACAUUUGUCAUUUCCUAUUUAUUAUAGUAGGUGUAUGAUUUAAUGUAAUUCUUCCUCCUCUUAUGCUAUCAAAUUGAAGACUCAUAAUUCACAUUGGGUUAAAUAAUGCUUAAUAUAUCAUCUCUAUUCUUUUUCUUUCCAUGUACUUCAACUCUGUUAAUACUCAGUUCUACUAGACUCAAAUAUAAUACAUCAUUAAGCUCAUGAAUGACCAGAAAAUAUAAAUUGCAGUAUUUCCCGGUAGGAUCUUUAUUUUUAACUCUUGUGAAUUAUAUUUGCCUCUUUAUUUCCUAGACACUAGUUUUGAUGGUAGACUAGAUAUAACUCUAAUUAUUCCAGAGAACUAAACAGGGUCAGCUAUAAUUC
rnacentral:lncRNA from 1 species